rnacentral:rRNA from 1 species
AGGAUAAACGCUGGCGGCGUGCCUAACACAUGCAAGUCGAACGCGCUUUCGGGCUUCGGUGCGAGAGCGAGUGGCGGACGGGUGAGUAACACAUGGGUACCUGCCUUUCAGUGAGGGAUACCGGCGAGAAAUCGCCGACAAUACCGCAUGGGCUUGUGGGAACACAAGCAAAGUGGCGCAAGCCACGCUGGAAGAUGGGCCUGUGGCCGAUUAGCUAGUUGGGGGGGUAACGGCCUCCCAAGGCGACGAUCGGUAGCUGGUCUGAGAGGACGAUCAGCCACACUGGGAUUGAGAACGGCCCAGACUCCUACGGGGGGCAGCAGUGAGGAAUUUUCCGCAAUGGACGAAAGUCUGACGGAGCAACGCCGCGUGCAGGAGGAAGGUUUUCGGAUCGUAAACUGCUUUUCUCGGGGACGAGCAAGGACGGUACCCGAGGAAGAAGCCCCGGCUAACUACGCGCCAGCAGCCGC